GCUUUCUUUUCUUUCUCGUCUUACAACUCACUAAGAUAAAGGGUAACGGAGGAAGCUGAAUAAAAGAUAAAUACAAAUAGAAAAAUUAUUUAUAUAAUGGGUCUGUAAAGUAAGUUAGUUAAAGGCAUGGGAAAGUUAGUAAGGAUCUUUUUCUUCACUCUGGAUUUAGGAGGACUCCAGCCGUUCAGGUACACUGGAUUCUUCUGAUACUGACUUAAGAGUGUUCCUGGUGUCCAGCAGGCUGGCGAUCAACAUCUGGAGUUUCGCUCUGAAUCGUGACCUCCUCUUUGUGCUUCUGUGGUUCGUGGGGCCAUAAAUUGGUCACCGUGGCGACCAGCUGGAUGAUUGAAAGUCCCCCAUCUGACUUUCUGAGGUCAGCCGUCACUUGUUCACUGUGGCUCUGCUCUGCAGCUGGUCUCCUUUUCCACAGUGCAGUGACACAGUGUUGAAGAGAAAACACGAUGGCGCACUCCACUCCUCGUACACUCAAUCACUCAGGAAACACAGGGGUUGGUCCAGGGAAUGAGGGUCGGCAACGGUCCAGCGACGAGAAACACAGAGCUGCAAUAUUAUGAGCUGGAACACUCUCGUGAUGAGCCACAGGUGCGUGAUUGCAACUAGGUGCGUGGGUCAAGGGCAGGAGCCCACAGGAGAGCUCCGCCCAGGCAGAUGGAGGAGGGAAAGAGAGGAAGGGAGAGAGCAGGAACAAAAAUGAAAAUAAAAACAUAUGUAGCCAUGCUGAGCCGACCGGGUAGGCACAGGGACCCUGACAGUUAGAGGAAAUGUUAAUGUCAGGUUUAGUCUGUAUGCACUCAGAGGUCAUUUGUACCUGCUGCUGCUGCUGCUGUGGUUGUAAUGAUGUAAACCCUGAUUGGUUGGAUAGUUUGAGUGACAGCAUUUACUGAGGCAAAGCAGAACAGCUGCUGAUCCUGAGCUACUCUUACAAAUGAAAGAUCAGUGAAGAGCUUCC